rnacentral:lncRNA from 1 species
UCUGGGCUUUCUAUCCUAUUCCCCUGAUCUAUAUUUCUGUCUUUGUGCCAGUACCAUAUGGUUUUGAUGAUUAUAGCUUUGUAGUAUAGUCUGAAGUCCAGGAGCCUGAUUCCUCUAGCUCCAUUUUUCUUUCUCAGGAUGGCUUUGGCUAUUUUCUGGGUCUUUUGUUCUUCCAAACAAACUUGAAAAUAUUUUGUUCUAGUUCUGUGAAAAAUGUCCUUGGUAAACAAUUAUAAAUUACUGAAGAGUAAAGUAAUAUAGCAAGGUUGCAGGGUACAACGUUAAUAUAUAAAAAUUAAUUGGUUUCCUACAUACAAGCAAUGAGGAGGAAUCUGAAACUAAAAACACAAUAUUAUUUAUAUUAGCAUCCCCAAAAGGAAAUACUUAGAUAUAAAUCUAGUAAAAUAUGUACAAGAGCUCUAUGAAGAAAAUUACAAAAUUCUAGUGGGCAAAAUCUGAUUGUUUUGCUAGUAGCUGUCAUACAGCUGACAAUGUGUUUAUUCAAAAUGGAUGCCGGGAGUGCCCAGCAUGGCACAGCGGAAAUGAAUCCGACUAGGAACCAUGAAGUUGCAGGUUCAAUCCCAGGCCUCGCUCAGUGGUGUUGCCAUGAGCUCUGGUGUAGGUCACAGACACGUCUCGGAUCUGGCAUUGCUGUGGCCAUGGUGUACGCUGGCAGCUGCAGCUCUGACUAGACCCCUAGCCUGGGAACGUCCAUAUGCUGCCGGAGAGGCCCUAAAAAAAAAGCAAAAAACAAAACCAAAAAAAACCCAGAGGAAUUCAGGAAGCUCUCAGGUCACAGGUCACUGCAGGGGCAGCGUGGGCGUGGCCUCUCAUGGCCUCACUCGGAUGACCUUAGGCGAAGUGGGCAGAGACAGGGACCCACAGGCGGGGAAUGUGCCACCUGGCCCUGCUAUAGCUUUCCAUUGUCAAGAGAAGCCAACAAGCUGGACUUUUAGGGUGGACCUCAGCCCACUAGUUGCCGGUUUCUAAUGCCAGUCUUCCAGCUGAGGGCAAUUAAAGUGACGGAGUUAAAAUUUCAUCUCUAGCACCAUGUAUUCCCCACGGAGGACACAGAGUACACAGGCCUUGGCUCCAGGAGACCAGUGGGGACAAUGAACACACCAUUUCAAGAGAAAAUGGCAAAAGGAGAGAGAGAAAAGGUCAAAAAUGAGAUCACGGCACCCACCAGCCACACGCCUCUCCCAACCCCUGACUGUCACAGAACAAGUCUGGGAAGUGGCAGUAAAAAGAUGACAGAGUAACCCCCCCUCUGCAUAUCUAGAGAAGAAAAGAGAUAAAGGGACCCAGAACUAUAUGAAUGCAAAGAAACAAAAAUUCAAUGGCCCCACUUUUAUGUAUCCAAAGUGAUUCCUACAAAAAUAAAACUAACU